UAUACCAAUAUGGUUUUAUUAGCUAGUAUACUCUAAUUUUAUAGUCGGUAAUAUCAAGGGAGUAACACAAGGUAUCUGCACUACAGAAGCAGAUGUCUGAUUACUAGGUUCUGCGAUGAAACUUUGUAUUUCAAAAAAUGGAUCCCCUUCAUUCUCUCCUUGUUUCUGUGUCUGCUGUCCUGAAGCCAGAUGUGUUACCAUGAUGUCUUUAUACUAAUAUACUAA
rnacentral:lncRNA from 1 species